rnacentral:rRNA from 1 species
GACGAACCGUGCGAACGUUGUUCGGAAUCACUGGGCUUAAAGGGCGCGUAGGCGGCGGAUCAAGUCCGGGGUGAAAGCCCCCAGCUUAACUGGGGAAGUGCCUCGGAUACUGGUUCGCUCGAGGAAGGUAGGGGUCGCGGGAACUUCCGGUGGAGCGGUGAAAUGCGUUGAUAUCAGAAGGAACGCCGGCGGCGAAAGCGGCGCACUGGACCUUUCUGACGCUGAGGCGCGAAAGCUAGGGGAGCAAACGGG